UACGUAGGGUGCAAGCGUUGUCCGGAAUUAUUGGGCGUAAAGAGCUUGUAGGCGGUCUGUUGCGUCGGCUGUGAAAACCCGAGGCUCAACCUCGGGCCUGCAGCCGAUACGGGCAGACUAGAGUUCGGCAGGGGAGACUGGAAUUCCUGGUGUAGCGGUGAAAUGCGCAGAUAUCAGGAGGAACACCGGUGGCGAAGGCGGGUCUCUGGGCCGAUACUGACGCUGAGGAGCGAAAGCGUGGGGAGCGAACAGG
rnacentral:rRNA from 1 species